UCCUUUGCUGAUAGGGCCCGUGUGCUGAUAGUUGAUUCAGUGAAUAUAUCUAGCAGUGAUAGCUCAUGGGCUCCAAAGGUCAGAUAUCUUAUUCUCUAUGCUGAAACCCUUGUUGCUUUAAGAAAACAGGAUUUUAAUAGGAAUCACAUGCAGAUUGACUACAGGGAGCCAAGCCGUAGUGGAAGAAGCAAAGUUGGUGGUUUUGGAGACGGACGUCUAUUUAUCCAUACUGGGACAAAAAUGAAGGUUAUUGAAAAGAAUCAUGCUUGGUGGAAGAAGUAAUUACAUUUUUUUUCAAAUCUCAGAGGAAUAAUGCUUUUAUAUUUCCUGCGAUGACCCGAUUUGCACUACGAUAUGCUCCCUUAAAUGUGAUUUAAACAGAAGAGAGGACCACCCCGCCAACAAAAUGUCCAGGUCCUAUUCCAUGGAACCCAUGAAUAUGUUGCCCUACAUUGCAAAAGGGACUUUACAGAUGUCGGUAAGUUAAGGCCAUUGAGAUGAAUGAUUCUGGAUUGUCUGGUGGGCCCAAUGUGAUCAAAAGUUUCCUUAGAAGAGUUAGAGAAGAUUUGAUAAUGGAAGCAGAAUCAAAGAGAGAUUUGAAGAUGCUGCUGUCUUUGGAGAGAAUGGCCAGGAGGCAAGGAACACAAGCAGCCCCUAGAAGUUGGAAAAGGUUUCAAAAGGACUGGUUGAAAACUAAAAUCUUAAAUCAAUUCAUGGUGUCAGGAAUGGAGCAGGAUAGAGAUCGUUCCUGAAGAUAAAAGUACAUGAAAACAUAUGCACUUGUGCAUACAUGGUGCUGCUUAAUGAACAUAUGUCAUUGUGGAAGGAGAGGAGAAAUCCAGGCUUGUUCAUUUUUAAGAGGACCCUUCUGCUGAGUGGAACCUGGCCAUGUUUGAUCAAUGUGGCUAAAGCUUGUGAACUGACUCUUCUACUCCUGGUACUUACUUAUACCAUUUUUUCCCACCAAGGAACAUCCUUAUCAGAUUUUAGUAGAAUCACCUCCUUUCACUCUUAGUGGUGCCAUUCCCACUCUGUCAGAGAUGAGCAGCCUUAUUAAUCAUACUCAGGACCAGCACUACCAACAAUCUGUCACUGUGGCCAAUGGCAUGCAUCAUCCAUUAUAACUAAAAAUUCACCCCAAGACCAAGACCUGAUGGGGUCAGGAUGGCACUGCAUCCUGCAGCACAAAGCAACAGAAACCAGUGGUUAUGCCUGUCCUUUCUAUCUUUUAUUCUUUCUUUUUUUUUUUUUUUUUUGGUCAUAGCUCAAAGCUUAUUGAGUAUAAAAGACAUUUUCCCUUUAAAAAAUGCUUACUUGAUGUUAUCUCCUUCACGCUCUGGGUCGAGCUCAUUUGGUGAAGGGUCAUCACACGCUCCCUUUGUGAUAAUGUCAGUGAGUCAAUAGAGUGGAUUGGGGAUUUCGGUUUCUAUCUGAAUUUUGAAGAUCUGCUUUUCUUGCAAUAUUUAACCAGAAAAUAUGGAUUGCAGCCUGUGUUUGCCUGCCAAAGUGACUCUUCCAUUUUAUUAUAGUUUAUUUUCCUUCAUUUCUAGGAUGAGUUCUACAAUAGACAUAGACAGGGAAUAGAAUUAGUGUGAGCCAAUCAGAUCCUAUUAGCAUAAGCAAUGCCCAUAAGGUGAUCAUGAUGUACAAGGCCAAUGCUAGUACUCUUGGGUGCAAUAAUUUAUUGCAAUCAUAAAAUUUAUGUAAAAUAAAUAAUAUUUUUAAUAA
rnacentral:lncRNA from 1 species